AACGAACGCUGGCGGCAUGCCUAACACAUGCAAGUCGAACGAGAUCUUCGGGUCUAGUGGCGCACGGGUGCGUAACGCGUGGGAAUCUGCCCUUUGGUUCGGAAUAACAGUUGGAAACGACUGCUAAUACCGGAUGAUGACGAAAGUCCAAAGAUUUAUCGCCAGAGGAUGAGCCCGCGUAGGAUUAGCUAGUUGGUGUGGUAAAGGCGCACCAAGGCGACGAUCCUUAGCUGGUCUGAGAGGAUGAUCAGCCACACUGGGACUGAGACACGGCCCAGACUCCAACGGGAGGCAGCAGUGGGGAAUAUUGGACAAUGGGCGAAAGCCUGAUCCAGCAAUGCCGCGUGAGUGAUGAAGGCCUUAGGGUUGUAAAGCCCUUUUACCCGGGAUGAUAGUGACAGUACCGGGAGAAUAAGCUCCGGCUAACUCCGUGCCAGCCGCCGCAGUAA
rnacentral:rRNA from 1 species